UGGAGAGGUGUCCGAGUGGACUAAGGAGCACAUUUGGAAAGUGUGUAAGUUAUUGACUUCAAGGGUUCGAAUCCCUUCCUCUCCGU
rnacentral:tRNA from 1 species